rnacentral:rRNA from 1 species
ACGCUCGACACCUACGGGGGGCAGCAGUGGGGAAUAUUGCACAAUGGGGGAAACCCGUGAUGCAGCAACGCCGCGUGAAGGAAGACGGUUUUCGGAUUGUAAACUUCUGUUCUUAGUGAAGAUAGUGACGGUAGCUAAGGAGCAAGCCACGGCUAACUACGUGCCAACAGCCGCGGUAAUCUGAGCGGGCUGGCAAGGC